rnacentral:rRNA from 1 species
ACGGCUCAGUAACACGUGGCUAAUCUGCCCUUGGGACCGGAACACCCCCGGGAAACUGGGGCUAAUUCUCGAUAGGUGAAGAACUCUGGAAUGAGUCUUUGCCAAAAAGACGUUUGCGUUAUGCUCGUAGACGUCGCCCAAGGAUGAGGCCGCGACCGAUCAGGUUGUUGGUGAGGUAAUGGCUCACCAAGCCUUUUACCGGUGCGGGCCGUGAGAGCGGGAGCCCGGAGAUGGGCACUGAGACAAGGGCCCAGGCCCUACGGGGCGCAGCAGUCGCGAAAACUUUGCAAUACACGAAAGUGUGACAGGGCUAUCCCGAGUGCCAUCCGCUGAGGAAGGCUUUUACCCAGUCUAGAACGCUGGGGGAAUAAGGAGAGGGCAAGUCUGGUGUCAGCCGCCGCGGUAAUACCAGCUCUCCGAGUGGUGUGGAUGUUUAUUGGGCCUAAAGCAUCCGUAGCUGGCUAAGUUAGUCCCUUGUUAAAUCCACCGAAUUAAUCGUUGGAUUGCGGGGGAUACUGCUUGGCUAGGGGACGAGAGAGGCAGACGGUAUUUCCGGGGUAGGGGUGAAAUCCUAUAAUCCCGGGAAGACCACCAGUGGCGAAGGCUGUCUGCUAGAACGCGCCCGACGGUGAGGGAUGAAAGCUGGGGGAGCGAACCGGAUUAGAUACCCGGGUAGUCCCAGCUGUAAACGAUGCAGGCUAGGUGUUUGGACGGCCACGUGCCGUUCUAGUGCCGCAGGGAAGCUGUUAAGCCUGCCGCCUGGGGAGUACGAUCGCAAGAUUGAAACUUAAAGGAAUUGGCGGGGGAG